rnacentral:rRNA from 1 species
GACGAACGCUGGCGGCGUGCUUAACACAUGCAAGUCGAACGGAAAGGCCCUGCUUUUGUGGGGUGCUCGAGUGGCGAACGGGUGAGUAACACGUGAGUAACCUGCCCUUGACUUUGGGAUAACUUCAGGAAACUGGGGCUAAUACCGGAAAUGAGCUCCUGCUGCAUGGUGGGGGUUGGAAAGUUUCGGCGGAUGGGGAUGGACUCGCGGCUUAUCAGCCUGUUGGUGGGGUAGUGGCUUACCAAGGCUUUGACGGGUAGCCGGCCUGAGAGGGGGACCGGAGACAUUGGGCAUACGAUACGGCGAAGACGCAUACGGGAGGCAGCAGUGGGGAGUAUUGCACAGUGGGCGGGAGCCUGAGGCAGCAACGCCGCGUGCGGGAUGAUGGCCUUCGUGUGGUAAACAGCUUUCGCCUGGGACGAAGCGGGAGUGACGGUAGUGGGUAAAGAAGCACCGGCUAACUACGUG